UUAUUAUUGCUCAAGUAACACGUGGAUAACCUGCCCUAAGGAAGGGGAUAACCCCGGGAAACUGGGGAUAAUACCCUAUAGGUUACAGAUGCUGGAAUGCCCUGUAACCCAAAGCUCCGGCGCCUUAGGAUGGAUCUGCGGCCGAUUAGGUAGUUGUUGGGGUAAUGGCCCAACAAGCCAGUAAUCGGUACGGGUUGUGGGAGCAAGAGCCCGGAGUUGGAUUCUGAGACACGAAUCCAGGCCCUACGGGGCGCAGCAGGCGCGAAAACUUUACAAUGCGGGCAACCGUGAUAAGGGAACCUCGAGUGCCUGUACAUGCAGGCUGUUCAGGUGUCUAAAACACACCUGAAGAAAGGGCCGGGCAAGACCGGUGCCAGCAGCCGCGGUAAUACAUAUAAAAAA
rnacentral:rRNA from 1 species